CCUACGGGAGGCAGCAGUGGGGAAUAUUGCACAAUGGGCGAAAGCCUGAUGCAGCGACGCCGCGUGAGGGAUGACGGCCUUCGGGUUGUAAACCUCUUUCAGCAGGGAAGAAGCGAAAGUGACGGUACCUGCAGAAGAAGCGCCGGCUAACUACGUGCCAGCAGCCGCGGUAAUACGUAGGGCGCAAGCGUUGUCCGGAAUUAUUGGGCGUAAAGAGCUCGUAGGCGGCUUGUCACGUCGGUUGUGAAAGCCCGGGGCUUAACCCCGGGUCUGCAGUCGAUACGGGCAGGCUAGAGUGUGGUAGGGGAGAUCGGAAUUCCUGGUGUAGCGGUGAAAUGCGCAGAUAUCAGGAGGAACACCGGUGGCGAAGGCGGAUCUCUGGGCCAUUACUGACGCUGAGGAGCGAAAGCGUGGGGAGCGAACAGGAUUAGAUACCCUGGUAGUCCACGCCGUAAACGGUGGGAACUAGGUGUUGGCGACAUUCCACGUCGUUGGUGCCGCAGCUAACGCAUUAAGUUCCCCGCCUGGGGAGUACGGCCGCAAGGCUAAAACUCAAAAGUAGUAAGUUGGCGGNGNGAGACGCGACGACGACGACGACGGAGGAGAG
rnacentral:rRNA from 1 species